AACGAACGCUGGCGGCAGGCCUAACACAUGCAAGUCGAGCGGGGACUUCGGUUCUAGCGGCGGACGGGUGAGUAACGCGUGGGAAUGUGCCCUUCUCUACGGAAUAGCCCUGGGAAACUGGGAGUAAUACCGUAUACGCCCUAUUGGGGAAAGAUUUAUCGGAGAAGGAUCAGCCCGCGUUGGAUUAGGUAGUUGGUGGGGUAAUGGCCUACCAAGCCGACGAUCCAUAGCUGGUUUGAGAGGAUGAUCAGCCACACUGGGACUGAGACACGGCCCAGACUCCUACGGGAGGCAGCAGUGGGGAAUCUUAGACAAUGGGGGCAACCCUGAUCUAGCCAUGCCGCGUGAGUGAUGAAGGCCUUAGGGUUGUAAAGCUCUUUCAGCUGGGAAGAUAAUGACGGUACCAGCAGAAGAAGCCCCGGCUAACUCCGUG
rnacentral:rRNA from 1 species